UGCCAGCAGCCGCGGUAAUACGGAGGGGGCAAGCGUUGUCCGAAAUGACUGGGCGUAAAGAGUCCGUAGACUGUACUGUAAGUUAUUUGUUAAAUCCUAAAGCCCAACUUUAGAACAACAUUUAAUACUACUUUACUUGAGUUUUGUUCGGAAGAGUAGAAUUCCACGUUUAGGGAUAAUCCCCGUAGAUAUGUGGAGGAACACCAUUAGCGAAGGCGACUCUUUGGUAAAAACUGACGUUGAGGGACGAAAGUGUAGGGAGCAAACAGGAUUAGAUA
rnacentral:rRNA from 1 species